rnacentral:rRNA from 1 species
UACGUAGGGUGCGAGCGUUUGUCCGGAAUUAUUGGGCGUAAAGAGCUCGUAGGCGGUUUGUCGCGUCUGCCGUGAAAAUCCGGGGCUCAACCCCGGACUUGCAGUGGGUACGGGCAGACUAGAGUGUGGUAGGGGAGACUGGAAUUCCUGGUGUAGCGGUGAAAUGCGCAGAUAUCAGGAGGAACACCGAUGGCGAAGGCAGGUCUCUGGGCCACUACUGACGCUGAGAAGCGAAAGCAUGGGGAGCGAACAGG